GCUCAGGUACGGGGGAAGACAGUUUACCUGCAGUAUUCUAAUAGGCAAGAAAUAGUCAACAACAAAACAACAGCUGAUGUUGCCGGAAAUGUGUUGUUGGUAACCAUUGAAGGUGCAGAUGCACGCCUUGUCAGCAUUGAUGUUUUGCACCUGGUGUUUUCUGCAUUUGGGUUUGUGCAUAAGAUUACUACCUUUGAGAA
rnacentral:misc_RNA from 1 species